AUUCCGCUAUGUCGACACUUUCGAACUAUCUCCUUAAACCUUUCCCAUGCUUCAAAAACAGUUUCAAUCUCUUUCUGGUAGAACUUAUGGAUUUCCCUUCUAAACUU
rfam:Nicotiana sylvestris Nsyl_contig5191, whole genome shotgun sequence.